CAUUCAUCAAUUUGACAAGCAAAAUUUGGUAAUGAUUUUGGGAUAUCGGAGCAAAUAAAAUUACUUUUUCUCAGAAAUAAAGCAAGCAACACGAAUUUUGCCAUUAGACUAUAAACCGGUGAUGUACUAACGGGGAAUUUUUAAAAACCCACAUUGAAAAUGUAAGCAGGGCAGAUUCUUAGUCAUAAAGGUGACAAGCUCUGCCGAGAUCAAAGCUGUGAUAACAUAUUUUUUGAGCCGUAAAAAAGCUUUUCAUGGCAUAAUUAAGCUGUACCGUUAAGAGAACGUGAAAAUGUUGCACAUCGAAUGUACGUGAAGCUGAGAACAUCACGACAUCACGGACAGACCUUAACAGAAGUCUUGUAACUACUACUGGACAAAAAUGUUCAUUGUUAUACAUUCAGCCAGCAUCAUUUUUAUUAUUAUUAAUAUUUAAAACCAGGUAGUCCUAAAAUUAUUGACCUGAUAAUGAACUGUUGGAAUUGA